rnacentral:rRNA from 1 species
AGUCUGCCUUGAAGAUCGGAGUGCUUGCACUCUGUGAAACAAGAUACAGGCUAGCGGCGGACGGGUGAGUAACACGUGGGUAACCUGCCCAAGAGAUCGGGAUAACACCUGGAAACAGAUGCUAAUACCGGAUAACAACAGAUGAUGCCUAUCAACUGUUUAAAAGAUGGUUCUGCUAUCACUCUUGGAUGGACCUGCGGUGCAUUAGCUAGUUGGUAGGGUAACGGCCUACCAAGGCGAUGAUGCAUAGCCGAGUUGAGAGACUGAUCGGCCACAUUGGGACUGAGACACGGCCCAAACUCCUACGGGAGGCAGCAGUAGGGAAUCUUCCACAAUGGACGCAAGUCUGAUGGAGCAACGCCGCGUGAGUGAAGAAGGGUUUCGGCUCGUAAAGCUCUGUUGUUGGUGAAGAAGGACAGGGGUAGUAACUGACCUUUGUUUGACGGUAAUCAAUUAGAAAGUCACGGCUAACUACGUGCCAGCAGCCGCGGUAAUACGUAGGUGGCAAGCGUUGUCCGGAUUUAUUGGGCGUAAAGCGAGUGCAGGCGGCUCGAUAAGUCUGAUGUGAAAGCCUUCGGCUCAACCGGAGAAUUGCAUCAGAAACUGUCGAGCUUGAGUACAGAAGAGGAGAGUGGAACUCCAUGUGUAGCGGUGAAAUGCGUAGAUAUAUGGAAGAACACCGGUGGCGAAGGCGGCUCUCUGGUCUGUUACUGACGCUGAGGCUCGAAAGCAUGGGUAGCGAACAGGAUUAGAUACCCUGGUAGUCCAUGCCGUAAACGAUGAGUGCUAAAUGUUGGGAGGUUUCCGCCUCUCAGUGCUGCAGCUAACGCAUUAAGCACUCCGCCUGGGGAGUACGACCGCAAGGUUGAAACUCAAAGGAAUUGACGGGGGCCCGCACAAGCGGUGGAGCAUGUGGUUUAAU